rnacentral:rRNA from 1 species
CUUGGUAGAAUAGUGGCAAACGGGUGAGUAAUACAUAGGUAAUCUGCCUCUAAGAGGGGGAUAACUCGGCGAAAGCUGGGCUAAUACCACAUGAUAUUGAAGGUUGAAAUAUCUUCAAUCAAAGGUGCAGCAAUGUAUGCUUAGAGAUGAGCCUGUGGCCUAUCAGCUAGUUGGCGGGGUAAUGGCCCACCAAGGCUAUGACGGGUAGCCGGUCUGAGAGGAUGAACGGCCACACUGGAAUUGAGAUACGGUCCAGACUCCUACGGGAGGCAGCAGUGGGGAAUUUUCCGCAAUGGGCGAAAGCCUGACGGAGCGACGCUGCGUGAAUGAUGACGGUCUUCGGAUUGUAAAGUUCUGUAGAGGGGGAAGAAGGGUGUCGCAAGACAUUUGACGGUACCCCUAAAGUAAGCAACGGCAAACUCUGUGCCAGCAGCCGCGGUUAGACAGAGGUUGCAAGCGUUGUUCGGAAUUACUGGGUGUAAAGCGCGUGUAGGUGGUUUUGUAAGUUGAAUGUGAAAUCCUUCAGCUCAACUGAAGAAUUGCAUUCAAAACUGCAUAACUUGAGUGCAAGAGAGGAAAGCGGAAUUUCUGGUGUAGCGGUAAAAUGCGUAGAUAUCAGAAGGAACACCGGUGGCGAAGGCGGCUUUCUGAAUUGCAACUGACACUGAGACGCGAAAGCUAGGGGAGCAAACAGGAUUAGAUACCCUGGUAGUCCUAGCCGUAAACGAUGGACACUAGGUAUUCCUGCCAAAGCGGGAGUGCCGAAGCUAACGCAUUAAGUGACCCACCUGGGAAGUACAGCCGCAAGGUUGAAACUCAAAGGAAUUGACGGGGGCCCGCACAAGCGGUGGAGCAUGUGGUUUAAUUCGACGCUACGCGAAGAACCUUACCUGGGUUUGACAUGCUGGUAGUAAGAACCUGAAAGGGCGAUGAUCCGUAGCAAUACGGAAGCCAGCACAGGUGCUGCAUGGCUGUCGUCAGCUCGUGUCGUGAGAUGUUGGGUUAAGUCCCGCAACGAGCGCAACCCCUAUCUUUAGUUGCCCGCUUGCCGCAAGGCAGGAGGCUACUCUAAAGAAACUGCCAUGGAUAACGUGGAGGAAGGUGGGGAUGACGUCAAGUCAGCAUAGCCCUUAUGUCCAGGGCUACACACGUGCUACAAUGGCGCGUACAGAGGGAAGCUAAGCCGUAAGGUGGAGCAAAUCCUUAAAGCGCGCCUCAGUUCGGAUUGAGGGCUGCAACUCGCCCUCAUGAAGUUGGAAUCGCUAGUAAUCGUAAAUCAGCUACGUUACGGUGAAUACGUUCCCGGGCCUUGUACACACCGCCCGUCACACCAUGAAAGCCAGGUGUAC